AACACUGUUAACCUGCGGUACCUGCGGAAGGAUCAUUAUAGUAUAUGGAAUCUCCAUUCUAUAAACCCACUCUGCGUAUCUUGUAACUGUUGCUUCCAUGGGACUUGGUUCCGCCACACCGGCUUCACAGCUGGUGAGCGCCCAUGGAAGGAGAAACAAAACUCUUCUUUGAAAUGUAGUCAGUCUGAACAAGUUUUUAUAAACGUUAAAACUUUCAGCAACGGAUCUCAGAUCGGAAGA
rnacentral:misc_RNA from 1 species